rnacentral:rRNA from 1 species
CCGAUGCUUAUUCUUCAGGUACACGUCAUUUUGUUCCUCCCUGAAAAAAGAGGUUUACAACCCAUAGGCCGUCAUCCCUCACGCGAGAUUGCUCCGUCAGGCUUUCGCCCAUUGCGGAAAAUUCCCC